rnacentral:rRNA from 1 species
UACGUAGGGUGCAAGCGUUGUCCGGAAUUAUUGGGCGUAAAGAGCUCGUAGGCGGUCUGUCGCGUCGGAUGUGAAAAUCCAGGGCUUAACCCUGGACCUGCAUUCGAUACGGGCAGACUAGAGUUCGGUAGGGGAGACUGGAAUUCCUGGUGUAGCGGUGAAAUGCGCAGAUAUCAGGAGGAACACCGGUGGCGAAGGCGGGUCUCUGGGCCGAUACUGACGCUGAGGAGCGAAAGCUAGGGGAGCAAACGGG